CCUACGGGAGGCUGCAGUGAGGAAUAUUGGUCAAUGGACGAGAGUCUGAACCAGCCAAGUAGCGUGAAGGAUGACUGCCCUAUGGGUUGUAAACUUCUUUUAUAUGGGAAUAAAAUGUUCCACGUGUGGGCUUUUGUAUGUACCAUAUGAAUAAGGAUCGGCUAACUCCGUGCCAGCAGCCGCGGUAAUACGGAGGAUCCGAGCGUUAUCCGGAUUUAUUGGGUUUAAAGGGAGCGUAGAUGGGUUGUUAAGUCAGUUGUGAAAGUUUGCGGCUCAACCGUAAAAUUGCAAUUGAUACUGGCGGUCUUGAGUACAGUUGAGGUAGGCGGAAUUCGUGGUGUAGCGGUGAAAUGCUUAGAUAUCACGAAGAACCCCGAUUGCGAAGGCAGCUUACUAAACUGUGACUGACAUUGAUGCUCGAAAGUGUGGGUAUCAAACAGGAUUAGAUACCCCAGUAGUC
rnacentral:rRNA from 1 species